ACAUACAUCUAUACAUAAGGUUUCUGAGAACAGCAGGACAAGUUGGCACAUCAACAUUCACAAACGGAAGGCUUGCGCUACUCCAUCUAGGCACUUUGAGUUGUAGCCUCAUACCAUAAUUGAAUGCCGCUUCUUUUGUAGCAAGAAGCAGCAAGUGUUAUUUUCACAGAAGAUGAACACAUACCAAAUUUUCUGAUAAGCAUAUUAGCUUGUGCAUACAUCAUACGAUACUGCCUGCAAAUUUCACGGUCAUUAGACUGGUCGUCAGUUAUGUAAUGUUAUACGUUUUUAGCCUCAUUACAUAUGUUAAGGACUGUGCCAGGAAAGGAGAAAUCAGUAGUUAUCAGUUUCUUAUCUGCCUUACUUCAUGAGCAUCAGCUGUAUGUGGCCUUAGUGCCUAGAUUUAAUAUGACAACCGCCACUGUUGUUUGGACAGGCGGGUAGACGUAAACUGGCAGAUAAAUCUAAGUGUUAUGAUUUCUCUCAUUCAUUUCUUAUGUUUGCAUUUGUGUCUUGCAGAAGAUGAAGGAGAAUGCAUGCAGUGGGCUGAAUGGAGAAUUCGUGAAUCAAAGGCAACACCAUCAAAUGCAUUAUGAAAUUAAGCACUAUCAGGUUGUCAAGGCUGUAGCUCAGCGGGUACAUGGUCCUGGAUACCUGUUUUUUUUUUUUGAAAACUAUUUAUAUAUGGAAUCUGAAUGCACUCUCCAAGAAAUGCUGCAGUUCUUUGUGCCACAAGAGGCCAAGAAGCUCUACUACAAGAAGUUGAGGCAGAAGAUGAAGAUUAUUACAAAUUAUCCAAGUCAGUUCAGACCAAGUAAUUUGAUUGGACAAGAGGCAUUCCAGUGCUGAUAUAGAGUAUAACAGCACUGGGUCUUUUAACUAUCCACGUAUCGCUCCGCUUUACGGGUGUUCUCAUAACCGUUAAUGUUAUUAACAAUCUUUUUGUAGCUUAGAUUGCAGCUAACUUUGCACAGCAAAUAUGAACAUGUUUCCAGGAAUAACAUUGGAGUUGAAUUAAGAAUGGUCGCCAGAAGAGGACCAAGGGAACCUAAUGUAAUGCUAAUGUGUUUGUGUUGCUUGGCAACAGUUCAGUCCAGUUGCGGAUCUAUUUGUGUUGGCGGAGCCAAAUAAAUCAUUAAUGAACCAAAGAAAUCUGAUCAUAAUAUGUUGUUAAUUAUUAUUGUUAACUAAUGAUUGGUGCUUGUAGAACUGUUGGAUAAAAGCAAUAUCUCUCAGGAGUGAGUGCUGUUGUACUACGGCUGGGAUUCGAAUCACAGCCGUGCUGAUAUUCAGUACAACAGCACUCCCUCUCGUGUGAUAUUGCUUAAUUAUUCUGUUCCAAAAUUCCAUAAAAAGUCUGAUUACUAAGAAAUAUAGAUGUAUAGUUACUUUUGUCAGUUUCAAGUUUUUGUUUUAACACGGGGGUACCAACAAUGUGUAUGAUGUAUGACUACCUUAAAGCAUUUGUCGAUGAUCUCACCCAGCUGCUGAGAGAACCUUCAGAGGUAAACCUCUAAGGUGUGCUCCUUUAUAAGCGAUGCUCCAGCAUGUGCUUUUCUCCAAAACAGUGUGCUAUCCUCUGGUUCAGUCUUUAUCAUCUACAGUUGAUUUAGGUACAAAAAAAGCCCAUUUCACAUAUCCCAUCGAUUAAAUGCACCUCUGCUGUUUGGGUGUAAAUUUUGCCAUCACUAUUUCUUCUUACGGAGAUGAAGACAACUACUUGCCUCUUUCAUGCAUCUCCUUUGUCCACAUCUAUGUUUGGGGAAUGUAAUUUGAAGCCAUUCCGUAAGUGUUUGCUAUGCCUCAUUGUUUAUUUUACUGCAUACUACAUUGGCACACUUGGGA